AUCCAUCGUGAUGGUAAUCUGCUU
rnacentral:siRNA from 1 species